rnacentral:rRNA from 1 species
UACGGAGGGUGCAAGCGUUAAUCGGAUUUACUGGGCGUAAAGCGUGUGUAGGUGGUUGGGAAAGUCAAUUGUGAAAUCCCCGGGCUUAACUCGGGAACUGCUUUUGAUACUGUCUGACUAGAAUUCGGUAGAGGGAGGCGGAACUCCAGGUGUAGCGGUGAAAUGCGUAGAUAUCUGGAAGAACACCAAUGGCGAAGGCAACCUCCUGGGCCUGCAUUGACGCUGAGGUACGAAAGCGUGGGGAGCAAACAGG